CAAAUACUCCCUUCGUCCCAAAAUUCUUGUCUUGAAUUUGUCUAGAUACGGAUGUACCUAAUACUAAAACAUGACUUGAUACAUCCGUAUUUGGAUAAAUCUAAGACAAGAAUUUUAGGACGGAGGGAGUACAAU
rfam:Triticum aestivum genome assembly, contig: Triticum_aestivum_CS42_TGACv1_scaffold_226956_3B